CGGGACGGGUGAGUAAUGUCUGGGAAAUGCCUGAUGGAGGGGGAUAACUACUGGAAACGGUAGCUAAUACCGCAUAACGUCGCAAGACCAAAGAGGGGGACCUUCGGGCCUCUUGCCAUCGGAUGUGCCCAGAUGGGAUUAGCUAGUAGGUGGGGUAACGGCUCACCUAGGCGACGAUCCCUAGCUGGUCUGAGAGGAUGACCAGCCACACUGGAACUGAGACACGGUCCAG
rnacentral:rRNA from 1 species